AACGAACGCUGGCGGCAUGCCUAACACAUGCAAGUCGAACGAGACCUUCGGGUCUAGUGGCGCACGGGUGCGUAACGCGUGGGAACCUGCCCUUAGGUUCGGAAUAACUCCCCGAGAGGGGUGCUAAUACCGGCUAAUGUCUUCGGACCAAAGAUUUAUCGCCUUUGGAUGGGCCCGCGUUGGAUUAGCUAGUCGGUAGGGUAAAAGCCUACCAAGGCGACGAUCCAUAGCUGGUCUGAGAGGAUGAUCAGCCACACUGGGGCUGAGACACGGCCCAGACUCCUACGGGAGGCGGCAGUGGGGGAUAUUGGACAAUGGGCGAAGGCAUGAUGCAGCUAGGCCGCGUAAGUGAUGAAGGUCUUAGAGUUGUAAAGCUCUUUUACCCGGGAUGAUAAUGACAGUACCGAGAGAAUAAGCUCCGGCUAACUCCGUG
rnacentral:rRNA from 1 species